rnacentral:rRNA from 1 species
AGAGUUGCAAAACUCCCACAAACCAUCGCGAAUCUUACCCGUACGGUUGCCUCGGCGCUGGCGGUCCGGAAAGGCCCUCGGGUCCUCCCGGAUCCUCGGGUCUCCCGCUCGCGGGAGGCUGCCCGCCGGAGUGCCGAAACUAAACUCUUGAUAUUUUAUGUCUCUCUGAGUAAACUUUUAAAUAAGUCAAAACUUUCAACAACGGAUCUCUUGGUUCUGGCAUCGAUGAAGAACGCAGCGAAAUGCGAUAAGUAAUGUGAAUUGCAGAAUUCAGUGAAUCAUCGAAUCUUUGAACGCACAUUGCGCUCGCCAGUAUUCUGGCGAGCAUGCCUGUUCGAGCGUCAUUUCAACCAUCAAGCUCUGCUUGCGUUGGGGAUCCGCGGCUGCCCGCGGUCCCUCAAAAUCAGUGGCGGGCUCGCUAGUCACACCGAGCGUAGUAACUCUACAUCGCUAUGGUCGUGCGGCGGGUUCUUGCCGUAAAACCCCCCAUUUCUAAGGUUGACCUCGGAUCAGGUAGGAAUACCCGCUGAACUUAAGCAUAUCA